CCGGGUGAGUAACACGUGACUAACCUACCCUCGAGUGGGGAAUAACUCCGGGAAACCGGAGCUAAUACCGCAUAACAUCAUCGGAACGCAGGUUUUGGUGAUCAAAGGAGCAAUUCGCUUGAGGAGGGAGUCGCGGCUGAUUAGCUAGUUGGCGGGGUAAUGGCCCACCAAGGCUUAGAUCGGUAGCCGGCCUGAGAGGGCGCACGGCCACACUGGAACUGAAACACGGUCCAG
rnacentral:rRNA from 1 species